rnacentral:rRNA from 1 species
CAGUCGCCGCGGUAAUACGAAGGGUGCAAGCGUUAAUCGGAAUUACUGGGCGUAAAGCGCGCGUAGGUGGUUUGGUAAGAUGGAUGUGAAAUCCCCGGGCUCAACCUGGGAACUGCAUCCAUAACUGCCUGACUAGAGUACGGUAGAGGGUGGUGGAAUUUCCUGUGUAGCGGUGAAAUGCGUAGAUAUAGGAAGGAACACCAGUGGCGAAGGCGACCACCUGGACUGAUACUGACACUGAGGUGCGAAAGCGUGGGGAGCAAACAGGAUUAGAUACCCCAGUAGUCCCUGUCUCUUAUAC